rnacentral:rRNA from 1 species
AACGAACGCUGACGGCGUGCUUUAGACGUGCAAGUCGUGCGAGAAAGUCGCCUUCGGGUGGCGAGUACAGCGGCGCACGGGUGAGUAACGCGUGGAUAAUCUACCCAAGGGUCUGGAAUAACAUCGGGAAACUGGUGCUAAUGCCGGAUAAGACCACGAUGGCUUCGGUCGAUGUGGAAAAAGGUGGCCUCUUCUUGAAAGCUACCGCCCAUGGAUGAGUCCGCGUCCCAUUAGCUUGUUGGUGAGGUAACGGCUCACCAAGGCUCCGAUGGGUAGCUGGUCUGAGAGGAUGAUCAGCCACACUGGAACUGAGACACGGUCCAG